rnacentral:lncRNA from 1 species
UGAGCAUUUGUGUCAUCUAGUGAGCAUCUAGUGAGCACUGGAUCUCUCUUCAAUUUCAGGAGACCCUGCUGUUCCAGAARCAUCCAGGAAUGAAGCUGCAUUUGGUAGUGUUCUUACAAUUUUUAUUGGUGUGAAGAUCUUCUAUUACCUCUCUGUGGUAAUGCAAAUAUGUGGAGGUCUUUUGUGGUCACGUUGUGUCAAUAUGCAUGUGGUCAAUCAGUUAAAAAUAGAAGAACAGUUUAUUUACCAGUAACAAAUGUGCAUGUACUUUACUUUCCUUUUCUCCUCUUUCCUUUUAUUCUCCUUUCCUUUUCUCAGUGGACAUCAAGAGAUACCAAAAGAAGACAGAGAACCGCUUUUUCCCCUAGAGAAAGGGAUGUGGAGGGCAAACUAUUGCAGAAGAAAAAAUUAUGUGAUCUCAAUUAUGUUUCCUCUGCCUGUUUCCAUGGCAUGAAUGUACUUGUGCACUGUGUAUCUGGAAAAAAACUCCAUUUACUGGGCAAUUUUACUCUUUGGAUUCUGGUAUACUGUUCCUGCUGGAGACUACUUAUUUCUGGGAUAUAUAAAAUUUCUGGGCAAUAUAAGACCAACAUUUUGGAAUGAGGUAAUUGCACCAAAUGAGAAACAUUUCCCAGAGACAAUCAGAGCUACCUCAUUUUCUGCCUUCUCUCUAAUGUUUAAUGACCUUGAUGGAAUUACAUUGAUUAGGUAAGUAUAUAGCUGAAUUUUUAUCGGACAUUUCUGUUCUUGUAAAAAAAGAUCAUAUGUACUGAUGUAACAAUAUUUGCCAAAUGUUUGUGCUUCCUCCUGAAUCAUAAGAAAACAUUUUUUUAUGACCAUCAGAAACUGAAAGCCAGUCUAAGCCUUUAGAUAUUACUCCUUUUCCCUUCAAAGCACCACAACUGGAACAGAUGGAAUUGGCACACACACUGGAGAAAAAUCUUUUUGGCACUUCUGUUAAACUGUUGGCAACAAUUUGCUGUUAAUUCUUCAUUAUUGGAGGACUAUAACAUUUUGAAUGAUCACCAGGAAGUUAAAUAUUCCUGGUUGAAUUUUCAUAUCAGAUAACUUGUGCUAAAGUUCAAGAUUCUUUUGGGGUUUCACAGCUUUUUCGCUAAUAUGCAGUGGGAAAAUAUCCAGUGAUCUGCAAGUAGGGACAAGACAGGUCACACCGAAAUGAGCUUGCAACCUGUGAUCUCCUUCUUCCAAUGAAUGCUAAGUGUCAUGUGGAACCCAAGCUUUGGGUGAAUCUUUAACAAUUUUGAACAUGUCCUCACUUUGAGGACUUUGAACUAAAUUUGCAGAUUAUUUCCCCUUUAAUUUGAAUUGUUAUUUCUUAAAGAAAGCUGACUAACCCUUCCUCCCCUGCUCAACAACUGUUUGUCCCUGUCAGUGGGAAUCUGCAUGCUGUCCAUUGCAGAAUGGAAGCUUGAACAGUAAGUGGAAUUUCAGGGACAAAUAAUUAAUUUGUUGACCUCCACCUCCAGAAUAAUUUCACCCAAAGCAAAUGCAAAAAGAUAUAUAUUAAUAUGAUAGCAUGGUUAGGAACUUCACCCACUGUUCCUUGUUUGGGCUUAAUUGACCAUAAUUCAUGACUGAUUUA